rnacentral:rRNA from 1 species
UGCGUAGGUGGUGAGGUAAGUCGGAUGUGAAAUCUCCGGGCUCAACCCGGAAAUGGCAUUGGAAACUACCUUGCUGGAGGAUUUGAGGGGGGAUUGGAAUACUUGGUGUAGCAGUGAAAUGCGUAGAUAUCAAGUGGAACACCAGUGGCGAAGGCGAAUCCCUGGAAAAUACCUGACACCGAGGCACGAAAGCUAGGGGAGCAAACA